AAAUUGAAGAGUUUGAUCAUGGCUCAGAUUGAACGCUGGCGGCAGGCCUAACACAUGCAAGUCGAACGGUAACAGGAAGCAGCUUGCUGCUUUGCUGACGAGUGGCGGACGGGUGAGUAAUGUCUGGGAAACUGCCUGAUGGAGGGGGAUAACUACUGGAAACGGUAGCUAAUACCGCAUAACGUCGCAAGACCAAAGAGGGGGACCUUCGGGCCUCUUGCCAUCGGAUGUGCCCAGAUGGGAUUAGCUAGUAGGUGGGGUAAUGGCUCACCUAGGCGACGAUCCCUAGCUGGUCUGAGAGGAUGACCAGCCACACUGGAACUGAGACACGGUCCAGACUCCUACGGGAGGCAGCAGUGGGGAAUAUUGCACAAUGGGCGCAAGCCUGAUGCAGCCAUGCCGCGUGUAUGAAGAAGGCCUUCGGGUUGUAAAGUACUUUCAGCGAGGAGGAAGGUGUUGUGGUUAAUAACCACAGCAAUUGACGUUACUCGCAGAAGAAGCACCGGCUAACUCCGUGCCAGCAGCCGCGGUAAUACGGAGGGUGCAAGCGUUAAUCGGAAUUACUGGGCGUAAAGCGCACGCAGGCGGUUUGUUAAGUCAGAUGUGAAAUCCCCGGGCUCAACCUGGGAACUGCAUUUGAAACUGGCAAGCUUGAGUCUCGUAGAGGGGGGUAGAAUUCCAGGUGUAGCGGUGAAAUGCGUAGAGAUCUGGAGGAAUACCGGUGGCGAAGGCGGCCCCCUGGACGAAGACUGACGCUCAGGUGCGAAAGCGUGGGGAGCAAACAGGAUUAGAUACCCUGGUAGUCCACGCUGUAAACGAUGUCGACUUGGAGGUUGUGCCCUUGAGGCGUGGCUUCCGGAGCUAACGCGUUAAGUCGACCGCCUGGGGAGUACGGCCGCAAGGUUAAAACUCAAAUGAAUUGACGGGGGCCCGCACAAGCGGUGGAGCAUGUGGUUUAAUUCGAUGCAACGCGAAGAACCUUACCUGGUCUUGACAUCCACAGAACUUAGCAGAGAUGCUUUGGUGCCUUCGGGAACUGUGAGACAGGUGCUGCAUGGCUGUCGUCAGCUCGUGUUGUGAAAUGUUGGGUUAAGUCCCGCAACGAGCGCAACCCUUAUCCUUUGUUGCCAGCGAUUCGGUCGGGAACUCAAAGGAGACUGCCAGUGAUAAACUGGAGGAAGGUGGGGAUGACGUCAAGUCAUCAUGGCCCUUACGACCAGGGCUACACACGUGCUACAAUGGCAUAUACAAAGAGAAGCGACCUCGCGAGAGCAAGCGGACCUCAUAAAGUAUGUCGUAGUCCGGAUUGGAGUCUGCAACUCGACUCCAUGAAGUCGGAAUCGCUAGUAAUCGUAGAUCAGAAUGCUACGGUGAAUACGUUCCCGGGCCUUGUACACACCGCCCGUCACACCAUGGGAGUGGGUUGCAAAAGAAGUAGGUAGCUUAACCUUCGGGAGGGCGCUUACCACUUUGUGAUUCAUGACUGGGGUGAAGUCGUAACAAGGUAACCGUAGGGGAACCUGCGGUUGGAUCACCUCCUUA
rnacentral:rRNA from 1 species